AUGAACGCUGGCGGCGUGCCUAAUACAUGCAAGUCGCGCGAACGGACGAGAAGCUUGCUUCUCUGAUGUUAGCGGCGGACGGGUGAGUAACACGUGGAUAACCUACCUAUAAGACUGGGAUAACUUCGGGAAACCGGAGCUAAUACCGGAUAAUAUUUUGAACCGCAUGGUUCAAAAGUGAAAGACGGUCUUGCUGUCACUUAUAGAUGGAUCCGCGCUGCAUUAGCUAGUUGGUAAGGUAACGGCUUACCAAGGCAACGAUGCAUAGCCGACCUGAGAGGGUGAUCGGCCACACUGGAACUGAGACACGGUCCAGACUCCUACGGGAGGCAGCAGUAGGGAAUCUUCCGCAAUGGGCGAAAGCCUGACGGAGCAACGCCGCGUGAGCGAUGAAGGUCUUCGGAUCGUAAAACUCUGUUAUUAGGGAAGAACAUAUGUGUAAGUAACUGUGCACAUCUUGACGGUACCUAAUCAGAAAGCCACGGCUAACUACGUG
rnacentral:rRNA from 1 species